GCCUUUAUUAAGUUCUCUCCCGUUCUGUUGUGGUGAAUACAAAGCGAUUGAUAUUGACAUCUUCUUGAUCUGCUUUAUUUUAACUUGAAGCUCAGAAUGUAUCACGCAAGCACUUUUUCCACACAGAUACCACAACAUUCCCUUUCUGAGAGCGUUUCGUUGGAGUUACGGGGACUCCUUUUGCCUUUCUCAGCUCUGCUCAGAACGGGGUCUGCAGUUCCCCCUAAAAGCGUCCACACUGAACGCUGAUGUAUUUUAAGCACAGACCUCAAGUUGUUCUACAGGUGGAAGAGGUGUGUUUGUUACCGAGGGUUUCACGUGUUGGAACCUGCUCUCACGAUCACCGACCUUUGUGUUUUAUGUCAGAACGUGGACGAAAAUACAGGAGCUGAGGUGUGGGGCAUCGCUUCCUGUGCCAAAGAGAAAGCAAUGGAUAGGUCUCACCCAAGCACAGAAGUGAAGGGGAAUAACCGUGGUUUGAGUAUUUUCCACUCCAGCACUUUCGAGGUGCUCAGCAAUACCUGCUGGCAUUAACCCUUCUCAGCUCCAUGGGGUGAUGCCGCUAACAGAGCGGCAGAGCCUGAAGCAGAGCGCGUGGGAUGGACGCACCGAGCUGUCAGAGCUGUGCUCGCUGCACUCAUGGGAGCAGUUUGUCCGACUGCAGUUCAGCUUGAGGAGAGGUUUACGAAGGCAGAUUCUGCACAGUAGUGCGGUGCUGCAGAACUUGGCCCUGGCACCUCAGCAAACUCUGAGUUCUGACUCUUCUUUCUUUCGUGCUUUGUGCUGAGGCUGUGGGGAUCCCCACGGAGCCCUCACCUUGCAUGGAGCCCAAAGGGCGCACCUCACACCUAUGAGCCUUGCUGUCCGCCAGGCAGUCCUACAGCAGAAGCUAUGGGGAACGUGCUGCCGGGCGGUUUACGUGAGCAAUCGCUUUGCCCAUCUGCCGGCAGGUCGAACUGAGUGUGUAUGAGGGAUAAGUUUAGAGACACCACAUGCAUACAGGAAGGCUCCGUGUGCCUCCCUAGAGGCUUUAUCCUUUGUAGCUCGCUGUGUGUUGAGGAUAGACAUGUAAGGAAAGCGUUAUGUCACAUUUCGGGGGAGCAGCUCCAUCUCUGACACCAUCAGAUUUAACUCUUUUCCAGCUCCCCACCCGAACAGAGUAAUACUGCUGUAUGGGAUCAGUUUAAACCGUGAGCGCAGGAGGAAAACCCACGCCGCGUAAAGUCCCCUAAGAGCAGAAAUAACAAUGUCCUGGUGCCAAUGCACCUUAACACCGCUUUUCGUGCCCGCUCCGUCUUUCCCUGCGGUAGUUCCGCACGGCCGGGCUCCGGGCUCCGUGCUCCGUG
ensembl:lncRNA